UACAGAGGGUGCGAGCGUUGUCCGGAAUCACUGGGCGUAAAGGGCGCGUAGGCGGCUUGGUAAGUAGGGGGUGAAAUCUCACGGCUCAACUGUGAGGCUGCCUUCUAGACUGCCGAGCUCGAGCACAGUAGAGGCUGGUGGAAUUCCCGGUGUAGCGGUGGAAUGCGUAGAGAUCGGGAAGAACAUCUGUGGCGAAGGCGGCCAGCUGGGCUGUUGCUGACGCUG
rnacentral:rRNA from 1 species